UACAGAGGUCUCGAGCGUUGUUCGGAUUCAUUGGGCGUAAAGGGCGCGUAGGCGGCGGGGUAAGUCUGGUGUGAAAUCUCGGAGCUCAACUCCGAAAUUGCACUGGAUACUGCUCUGCUAGAGGGCUGGAGAGGAGAUCGGAAUUCACGGUGUAGCAGUGAAAUGCGUAGAUAUCGUGAGGAAGACCAGUGGCGAAGGCGGAUCUCUGGACAGCUCCUGACGCUGAGACGCGAAAGCGUGGGGAGCGAACAGG
rnacentral:rRNA from 1 species